CAGUAGGGGAUCUUCCACAAUGGACGAAAGUCUGAUGGAGCAACGCCGCGUGAGUGAAGAAGGGUUUCGGCUCGUAAAGCUCUGUUGGUAGUGAAGAAAGAUAGAGGUAGUAAAUGGCCUUUAUUUGACGGUACUUACUUAGAAAGUCACGGCUAACUACGUGACAGCAGCCGCGGUAAUACGUAGGUGGCAAGCGUUGUCCGGAUUUAUUGGGCGUAAAGCGAGUGCAGGCGGUUCAAUAAGUCUGAUGUGAAAGCCUUCGGCUCAACCGGAGAAUUGCAUCAGAAACUGUUGAACUUGAGUGCAGAAGAGGAGAGUGGAACUCCAUGUGUAGCGGUGGAAUGCGUAGAUAUAUGGAAGAACACCAGUGGCGAAGGCGGCUCUCUGGUCUGCAACUGACGCUGAGGCACGAAAGCGUGGGUAUCGAACAGGAUUAGAUACCCGUGUAGUC
rnacentral:rRNA from 1 species